rnacentral:rRNA from 1 species
UACAGAGGGUGCGAGCGUUAAUCGGAAUUACUGGGCGUAAAGCGUGCGUAGACGGCUAUCUAAGUCGGGUGUGAAAGCUUCGGGCUCAACCUGGGAAUUGCAUUCGAGACUGAAUAGCUAGGGUGCGGUAGAGGGAAGCGGAAUUUCCGGUGUAGCGGUGAAAUGCGUAGAUAUCGGAAGGAACAUCAGUGGCGAAAGCGGCUUCCUGGACCAGCACCGAUGUUCAGGCACGAAAGCGUGGGGAGCAAACAGG